rnacentral:lncRNA from 13 species
GCUACUACUUGCCCAUCUGCAGACCUAAGAGAGAGCAAGUGCAAAUGGGUUGAAAAAAAGGUGGGUGUUGGGGUCUGGGAAAUGAAGAUGUCUUUUUUUGAAGAUCUUGAAGACUAAGAUUUUGAAUGCUGGCAGGGUGUGGUGGCUCAUACCUAUAAUCCCAGUACUUUGGGAGGCCAGGCUGAGGUGGGCAGAUUGUGAAGUCAAGAGAUUGAGACCAUCCUGGACCACAUGAUGAAACCCCAUCUCUACUAAAAACACAAAAAUUAGCUGGGCGUGGUGGCGCGUGCUUGUGGUCCCAGCUACUCGGGAGGCUGAGGCAGGAAAAUUGCUUGAACCUAGGAGGCAGAGAUUUCAGUGAGCCGAAAUCAUGCCACUACACUCAAGCCUGGAGAAAGAACGAGACUCCAUCAAAAAAAAGAAAAAAAAUUAUAUAUAUAUUUUGAAUGCAUAUUUUGACAAGCUCCAAAAGUAGAACACACUUUCAUAAGAGCAUCACAUUUAAAAUGUACCCAUUAGAGCCAAACAUUGGCUGGCCUUGUUGUCUAUAGGCUCUCAAAUUUGGGACAAACAGAUUUAAUAACCCUGAAGUUCCUCUUAAAUUCACAAUUUGUUCUGAAACAGAAUGGUUCCCUGGGGGGCAUAAAGCAGAUAAUUUUUUCAUUCUUAGGAAUAGUCUAAACCAGAGAAGACUCUAUGGAUCACAUGAAUCUUCUUUUCACCUCAUGUUUGAAACAUUCUACAGAACAAUUUUGAGACUUACCAGCAUCACUGAGAGAUUUAGAAGUAUAAAUCAGUAUUGCCCUAAGAAACCAGUUGCCAUGAUGUGAGGAAGCUCAAGCAACCCUAUGGAGAAAAGGUUUCCCACAGGGAAAGAUUUCCAAAUCCCUGUCUAACAACUUCAGUCAAACACUGAUCCGAAAUAAGCAUCAACCUGUCAACCAUGUGAGUGAUCUGUCUUGGAAGUGGACCCUUCAGCCAUAGUUGAGCCAUUCAAGCUGAUAAAUAGAGACAAGCUGUUUCCACUGGGCCUUACAAAAAUUGCAGAUUUGUGAGCAAAACAAAGGAUGUUUGUUGUCUAAAGCUACUAAAUUUUGGAGGAGUUUGUUAUACAACAAUAAUAACAGAACACCAUGACAUAUGAAUUAGAAAUUUAUCACUGAGUUGUUGGUUAUCUUUCUACCUCUGAAAAUUAAAUACCUAGCCAGUCAUGAUAAAGAAUAAGGUAAAAUAAGUAUGAAAAAUCUGAAAAAUCAAAGACAAGCCGAAAAUAGGAUCAGGAAUGAGGCUAAUAUAUGAUGUAUACCACAAAUUCCUAACUUUGGAAAACUUUGUCAAUGUCUAAUAAAGUUAACCAUAUGUCCA